GAACGGUUGGCUCACUUGGAAGAGCGCUCGCUCUAAACGCGAGAGGUCGCGGGUUCGAGUCUCGCAUCGUUCA